UACGAAGGGGGCUAGCGUUGCUCGGAAUGACUGGGCGUAAAGGGCGCGUAGGCGGCAUGAGUUGGCGGGCGUGAAAUUCCAGGGCUUAACCUUGGGGCUGCGUUCGAGACGGGUAUUCUAGAGUUUGGCAGAGGGUCGUGGAAUUCCCAGUGUAGAGGUGAAAUUCGUAGAUAUUGGGAAGAACACCGGUGGCGAAGGCGGCGACCUGGUCCUUGACUGACGCUGAGGCGCGAAAGCGUGGGGAGCAAACAGG
rnacentral:rRNA from 1 species